AUUGAACGCUGGCGGCAGGCCUAACACAUGCAAGUCGAGCGGGGUUUUCGGACCUAGCGGCGGACGGGUGAGUAAUGCGUAGGAAGCUACCCGAUAGAGGGGGAUACCAGUUGGAAACGACUGUUAAUACCGCAUAAUGUCUACGGACCAAAGUGUGGGACCUUCGGGCCACAUGCUGUCGGAUGCGCCUACGUGGGAUUAGCUAGUUGGUGGGGUAAUGGCUCACCAAGGCGACGAUCCCUAGCUGGUUUGAGAGGAUGAUCAGCCACACUGGAACUGAGACACGGUCCAGACUCCUACGGGAGGCAGCAGUGGGGAAUAUUGGACAAUGGGCGCAAGCCUGAUCCAGCCAUGCCGCGUGUGUGAAGAAGGCCUUCGGGUUGUAAAGCACUUUCAGUAGGGAGGAAGGGUGUUGUGUUAAUAGCACAGCACUUUGACGUUACCUACAGAAGAAGCACCGGCUAACUCUGUGCCAGCCGCCGCGGUAACAC
rnacentral:rRNA from 1 species